rnacentral:rRNA from 1 species
UACGUAGGCAGCGAGCGUUGUUCGGAGUUACUGGGCGUAAAGGGUGUGUAGGCGGUUCUUUUAGUUUGGUGUGAAAUCUCCCGGCUCAACCGGGAGGGUGCGCCGAAUACUGAGGGACUAGAGUACGGGAGAGGAAAGUGGAAUUCCUGGUGUAGCGGUGAAAUGCGUAGAUAUCAGGAGGAACACCGGUGGUGUAGACGGCUUUCUGGACCGUAACUGACGCUGAGACACGAAAGCGUGGGUAGCAAACAGG